GGCCUAACACAUGCAAGUCGAGCGGCAGCGAGACUAGUAGCAAUACUAGUUGUCGGCGAGCGGCGGACGGGUGAGUAAUACGUAGGGACCUGCCCUCAAGCGGGGGACAACCAAGGGAAACUUUGGCUAAUACCGCAUGAUCUCGAGAGAGUAAAGUUGCCGCAAGGUGACACUUGAGGAGGGGCCUGCGUCCGAUUAGCUAGUUGGUAGGGUAAAAGCCUACCAAGGCGAUGAUCGGUAACUGGUCUGAGAGGACGACCAGUCACACUGGGACUGAGACACGGCCCAGACUCCUACGGGAGGCAGCAGUGGGGAAUAUUGGACAAUGGGGGCAACCCUGAUCCAGCGAUGCCGCGUGGGUGAAGAAGGCCUUCGGGUUGUAAAGCCCUUUAGGUUGGGAGGAAGUGUGUUGGUGGAUAAAGCCAGCAUAUUGACUGUACCGACAGAAUA
rnacentral:rRNA from 1 species